rnacentral:rRNA from 1 species
CGGCGCGCCUAACACAUGCAAGUCGAACGAGCGAGAGAGAGCUUGCUUUCUCGAGCGAGUGGCGAACGGGUGAGUAACGCGUGAGGAACCUGCCUCAAAGAGGGGGACAACAGUUGGAAACGACUGCUAAUACCGCAUAAGCCCGCGGGUCGGCAUCGACCAGAGGGAAAAGGAGCAAUCCGCUUUGAGAUGGCCUCGCGUCCGAUUAGCUAGUUGGUGAGGUAAUGGCCCACCAAGGCAACGAUCGGUAGCCGGACUGAGAGGUUGAACGGCCACAUUGGGACUGAGACACGGCCCACACUCCUACGGGAGGCAGCAGUGGGGAAUAUUGCACAAUGGGGGAAACCCUGAUGCAGCGACGCCGCGUGGAGGAAGAAGGUCUUCGGAUUGUAAACUCCUGUUGUUGAGGAAGAUAAUGACGGUACUCAACAAGGAAGUGACGGCUAACUACGUGCCAGCAGCCGCGGUAAAACGUAGGUCACAAGCGUUGUCCGGAAUUACUGGGUGUAAAGGGAGCGCAGGCGGGAAGACAAGUUGGAAGUGAAAUCCAUGGGCUCAACCCAUGAACUGCUUUCAAAACUGUUUUUCUUGGGUAGUGCAGAGGUAGGCGGAAUUCCCGGUGUAGCGGUGGAAUGCGUAGAUAUCGGGAGGAACACCAGUGGCGAAGGCGGCCUACUGGGCACCAACUGACGCUGAGGCUCGAAAGUGGGGGUAGCAAACAGAGAUUAGAUACCCUGGUAGUCCACCCCGUAAACGAUGAUUACUAGGUGUUGGAGGAUUGACCCCUUCAGUGCCGCAGUUAACACAAUAAGUAAUCCACCUGGGGAGUACGACCGCAAGGUUGAAACUCAAAGGAAUUAACGGGGGCCCGCACAAGCAGUGGAGUAUGUGGUUUAAUUCGACGCAACGCGAAGAACCUUACCAAGUCUUGACAUCCCUUGACGAUGCUGGAAACAGUAUUUCUCUUCGGAGCAAGGAGACAGGUGGUGCAUGGUUGUCGUCAGCUCGUGUCGUGAGAUGUUGGGUUAAGUCCCGCAACGAGCGCAACCCUUAUGGUCAGUUACUACGCAAGAGGACUCUGGCCAGACUGCCGUUGACAAA